AACGAACGCUGGCGGCAUGCCUAACACAUGCAAGUCGAACGAGACCUUCGGGUCUUGUCGCGCCCGGGGGCGUAACCCGUGGGAACCUUCCCUUAUGUUCGGCAUAACUCUCCGAAAGGGGUGCUAAUACCGGACAAUGUCUUCUGACCAAUGAUUUAUUGCGUUUGGUGGGGCCCGCGUUGGAUUAGGUUGUUGGUAGGGUAAUAGGAUACCAAGGCGAGGAUUCAUAGCUGGUUUGAGAGAAAGCUCAGCCACACUGGGACUGGGACCCGGCCCAGACUCUUACGGGAGGGAGGAGUGGGGGAUAUAGGACAGUGGGCGAAAGGCUGAUCCAGCAAGGCCGGGUGAGUGAUGAAGGCAUUAGGGAUGUAAAGCUCUUUUACCCGGGAUGAUAAUGACGGUACCGGGAGAAUAAGCUCCGGCUAACUCCGUG
rnacentral:rRNA from 1 species